rnacentral:rRNA from 1 species
GGGGAAUAUUGCGCAAUGGGGGAAACCCUGACGCAGCGACGCCGUGUGAGGGAAGAAGGCUUUCGGGUCGUAAACCUCUGUCAGAAAGGAAGAACCUCCCAAGUCCGAAUAGGGCUUGGGACUGACGGUACUUUCAAAGGAAGCACCGGCUAACUCCGUGCCAGCAGCCGCGGUAAUACGGAGGGUGCAAGCGUUAAUCGGAAUCACUGGGCGUAAAGCGCGCGUAGGCCGCUUUGUAAGUCGGACGUGAAAGCCCUCGGCUCAACCGGGGGACUGCGUUCGAUACUGCGAGGCUUGAGUCCUGGAGAGGGUGGCGGAAUUCCGGGUGUAGGAGUGAAAUCCGUAGAUAUCCGGAGGAACACCGGUGGCGAAGGCGGCCACCUGGACAGGUACUGACGCUGAGGCGCGAAAGCGUGGGGAGCAAACAG